ACACCAGACAGAUCCAGGAGGGCUGCAGGGAACAACAAUUGAAGAGAAAUAAGAAUGCAGCGGAAGAGAACGUCCUUAGGCUAGGCGGUGGAAGUCAGCAUGCGGCCACGUCUUAGAUGUGCUGUAGACCACAGCCAGCUAAACCAGGGCCUGUCCCCAUCUCACUGAGCACAGGGAAGUGAACAGAUCUAAUGGCUAUUUUUAUUGUUUUUCUCUGGACGCUUGCCAGUUCUCAAUUCCUUCUCUGUACAGAGAGGCACAAAUCCUCCUCCUGGUGGCAGCAUCACAGCUCCAGUCUUCACAAGACCUUAAGGAGCAUCUCUUACUCCUGCUCUCUAGCACCAGCCUGUACACCCUACUUCCGAUGCUUGGCUUUCUGCUUACACUUGCACAUGGUGACUCAAACAGCAACGGCCUCGCCCCACUGACACGUGAUGCUCUGACAGCACCACUGGCAGCGUUGACUUCUACCUUCUAUAUGGGAGGAAGGACGAACAAAGCGAGUUUACUGCUUCGCUGCAGUGAGCAAUGAACGCAAUGUGUUUGCGUUCAUCAACAUCACUUUAUUUUUAUGAAACUUGCCUGUUGCGCACAGGGCCCAGGGGUACACCUGCACGGGGAGGGGCACUUCUCUGUGCAACAGCCUGUCCUGGAGCUAACGGGAGGUGCCAGUUGCGGGGAGGCAAGCAUCUGUGUCUCCGUGACCUCGGGGACAGUGAGGGGACUGAUGGGGGCGAGCACAGUGGGAGCUUGUUUCUGACAUGGAACUUGGCUUUUCCUUUACCAGAUGACUUUGGGAGGGCAGGCACGGCUCCAUUCUUCAAAUCUCACAUCCCAGUCAAAGGCAAUUCCUUCACGUAUCAGUUUUAAAACGUUUUCCAUUUCUCUUCUUCCUCUUUUCACAAACCCCCACCAAGAAAAGCCGAGAGGGUGGAAGCUAUUUAGAAAACUGCUCAGAAAUACCCCCAAGGCAUUUGAUGCACUCAAGUUCAACACCAGCUGUCCUGGUGGCAUGGAAGCGGCAUGAGGGCAGGAGCCUAUUUAGGGAUCUGUUCUGAAGUACUGGACCUGGAACGGGAACGGUGGACCAAACCCGAUCUUUUUGCUUUAGCCUCAGAGAACUUCAGAUCUGACCUAGAUUUCUUGGGUCAUACCUGCUUCAACCAGUGCCAGGUGGGUGAGGCACGCUGCAGCCGCCCAUCUUCCUCCCACAUACUGGACAUGACACACUUUCAAGCAUCAUUUCGUCAAGUAUCGCAGCUCACGCAACGUGACCGCUGUGGGAUGCCUGACAGCCGUUGUCCAUGGAGUGUCAACAGCGAGAGUGCCCGAUAUGUCCAGACAGCACUGUGACCAGCCUGCUCGUCCUCGGAAAGCCCUUUGUCUCCAUAGUUCUACCUUGCCUUAGUGCUCUCUUCUUCUUGGGCUGGAGCUCUGGCCACGUCACACCACCUCAGAUGAAUGGCACCGCCGGUCAUCUCUGGCAGCCAGAGCCGGGUCCCUGCUUGGGCAACCACGGCAGUCACGUUGAGGUACUCUGAGCGUGUCGAGUGUUGCCGCACUCCCACCUGAGAAAACACAUCUUGCAGAACCAGUGUGCCUUCCGACAUGCUGGGUGUCUCUGACUGCUGGCCCUUUGACUUCCCCAGAACCUUGAGGCACGUUUCAUCAUCUAGUACAAAAUCCACAAUUUCUCUCUGAAAACAAGGACAAAAGGAGAAGGGAAAGCAAGCUAUCUCCUGAGAGAGCCGAUAGCAGGGGUGACGUUGCUUAAAAUAACUGCCCCAGCCUAGCACAGCACAGAGGGUCUUUCCCAGCUGGGUCAAGACCAGCAGUGGUGGAAACACAGGCAGGGAGGGAAGAGCUCACGGUGCCGGCUGCAUUGCCAUCCUUCAGUUCGUACAGAGCUCAGCUCUCUCCUGAAGAGCCAAGUCUACUGCUCUGGAUGGCUGCACCCAUCGCUCCGCUUAGUGACAGGACAGCUCUUCUCUCCUCGUUCUCCAAGCAGCACAUGCCACAUGCACCCCUUUGCUCAGGUGUUCACCACAUUGCCCGACUUUGGAGCACCUCUGCUUUCCAGUUGCUUCCUAUAGCGCUGAAGGCCCGUAUUCCCAUUGCAAUAAGUUUGUUUCUGGGACGGCGCUUAGAUGGAUGGGCUGCUUCCCAGUAACAGUGACAUCCCCUUCCCACCCGCUCCCUACCACACACAUGCACACACACGCACGCUUUUCUUAAAACCCCUUUUUAAAGAAUGAGACCAUUACUGCAGGGCUCCAAAAACUGCAAUCUCAUCUAGAACUGAAAGAUUACAAAAAACAUGACAGUUUCCCAGAAAAUUUCAACACUGUUGGCUUGUCAUCACAUUAAGACACUAUCCAGUCAUGAUUUUUUGGUUGUUCUCUAGAAACCUCUUUUAAUGAUAAUUGUGUGCUUUGCAACUGUUUUCCUCCCCUACUCACCUACCUGCUUAGGAAGGAAAAUGGUCAGGCUUCAACUGGCUUUUUACACUCUUCGUAGACGAGCUUUUCUUUCACCUCAUAGAGGUCUUUCCCAACCUUAACAAUUCUAUGAUCCUAAACGUCUCACUUCCUUAGCUCUGAACCUCAAAUUGCACUAGCAGCAACUCUUGCAUCUUCUGUUCCCUACAGCCUACAAACACCACCUGACACAACAUUCAACACAUAUCCCAAACUCAAGCAGAUUUACAAUAAUUCCUGUGCUUUCCGGUAGAGGGACCUAAUAUGCUCCCAGGAGGUAACUCCUGGGCACACACAGACAUUCACACACACACACUUUUAUAGGCAAAAUAAUGAGAAGUAUAACAAAAAGCUACUAACUUUGCAGUUCUGAAGUUUAAUGCUUUUCAUUUGCUUCUCCACAUUUGGAGUAAACUGCGUGUUCACAUUGACAAUUUUUUCCAAGACGUCAUCACUGACAAAAGCUGCCAUUUGUUCCCUUUCCAUUUUGAAAUCAAGGUUUCCCAGCCCUUGAUUUUUAAGUACUUUCUUAAAAAUGAGAAAUGAAACUUGUGGUACAGGAAAUUCAGGGAGAAAGUAUAAGGUCACCAAUAAGUGCCUGUGAAGCAUGCCUGGUUGGUUGUGAAUUUUGAUGAACCUUUGUGUCAUCAGUUCCGCCGGUUCCUCACUGGACCUCUGUGUACUUUGGGUUUCAUGGCUCUGGAUGGGUAGCAUUGUGUUCCACACUUAUUUCUGUAUUGCAUAAAAGAAGUACUUUUCUGCUCCCUUUAAAAGUGCUACCAGAUAAUUUUAGCUAAUGUCUGCUUCCUUUUCUCUUUGGAAAAACUGCAAACAAAUAGUCCCCAUUGCUCUCCUCCACGCUGGCCACAAUGAGUAAGUACAUUUUGCUCAUUUUGCCUCAUUCUGCUCUUUUUUCCCAGCUGAGACAGUAUAAAGCAUUUGCAAAGAAGUGGUUUUAUGCCACUAAUCAUCCUUUAUUAUCAAUUGUCAGUAACUUUUCUGGCUCUGUUAAGCCCUUUCAAGAUGAGAGACCUACAUGCAUACAUAAGGUGGAAGAAUUCCAUGGGAUUUUACAGUAUCACAAUCCUGUUUUCUAUUGCCUUUCCUAAUAGCACCUAAUACUCUUUUUGAAUGCUGGUGAAUUUUGAGCUGAUGCCUGCAGAAAACUGCAUGUGCAGAUCUUUUCUGAGUGUGAACAGCAAAUCCAGGGGUCCACUAAUCCUGUAUCUGUGUCGCUGAUAUCCCCCUCACCCCUCAGGUUGCUUGUUUUGUUUUACAUCUGUCUGCGUGGUUUUUGAUGGGACAUGGUAUUGCCCUAUCCUUCAUCAUAAAGUUCUUCUAUAACUCUGCAGUAUCCAAGUUCUAGGUUUACUCAGGGUAGUAGAAAUUAUGAAUAACAAAACUUUUCAGCUCCCUACGUACCCUUCAGGC